rnacentral:rRNA from 2 species
UGGGGAAUUUUGGACAAUGGGGGGAACCCUGAUCCAGCAACGCCGCGUGAAUGAAGAAGGCCUUAGGGUUGUAAAGUUCUUUUGUCAGGGAAGAAAAGGCUUGUGCUAAUAUCAUAAGCUGCUGACGGUACCUGAAGAAUAAGCACCGGCUAACUACGUGCCAGCAGCCGCGGUAAUACGUAGGGUGCGAGCGUUAAUCGGAAUUACUGGGCGUAAAGCGUGCGCAGGCGGAUAUGUAAGUUAGAAGUGAAAUCCCCGGGCUCAACCUGGGAAUGGCUUUUAAGACUGCGUAUCUAGAGUUUGUCAGAGGGGGGUGGAAUUCCAAGUGUAGCAGUGAAAUGCGUAGAGAUUUGGAGGAACACCAAUGGCGAAGGCAACCCCCUGGGAUAAAACUGACGCUCAUGCACGAAAGCGUGGGUAGCAAACAGG